rnacentral:rRNA from 1 species
GACGAACGCUGGCGGCGUGCCUAAUACAUGCAAGUUGAGCGCUGAAGGUUGGUACUUGUACCAACUGGAUGAGCAGCGAACGGGUGAGUACCGCGUGGGGAAUCUGCCUUUGAGCGGGGGACAACCUUUGGAAACGAAUGCUAAUCCCGCAUAAAAACUUUAAACACAAGUUUUAAGUUUGAAAGAUGCAAUUGCAUCACUCAAAGAUGAUCCCGCGUUGUAUUAGCUAGUUGGUGAGGUAAAGGCUCACCAAGGCGAUGAUACAUAGCCGACCUGAGAGGGUGAGUGGCCACAGUGGGACUGAGACACGGCCCAAACGGAUACGGGAGGGAGCAGGAGGGAAUCGUCGGCAAGGGACGAAAGUCUGAGCGAGCAACGCCGAGGGAGGGAAGAAGGGUGUCGGAUCGGAAAACUCUGUUGGUAGAGAAGAACGUGGGUGAGAGUGGAAAGCUCAUCAAGUGACGGUAACUACCCAGAAAGGGACGGCUAACUACGUG